GCAAGUCGAGCGGAAACGAGAAUAGCUUGCUAUUCGGCGUCGAGCGGCGGACGGGUGAGUAAUGCUUGGGAAUAUGCCUUAUGGUGGGGGACAACAGUUGGAAACGACUGCUAAUACCGCAUAAUGUCUACGGACCAAAGGGGGGGAUCUUCGGACCUCUCGCUCAUAGAUUAGCCCAAGUGAGAUUAGCUAGUUGGUAAGGUAAUGGCUCACCAAGGCAAUGACGCCUAACUGGUUUGAGAGGAUGAUC
rnacentral:rRNA from 1 species